AUCGGGGAUGCGGACAGUGUCUGGUGGGUAGUUUGACUGGGGCGGUCUCCUCCCAAAGCGUAACGGAGGAGCACGAAGGUUAGCUAAUCACGGUCGGACAUCGUGAGGUUAGUGCAAUGGCAUAAGCUAGCUUAACUGCGAGACAGACACGUCGAGCAGGUACGAAAGUAGGUCAUAGUGAUCCGGUGGUUCUGUAUGGAAGGGCCAUCGCUCAACGGAUAAAAGGUACUCCGGGGAUAACAGGCUGAUACCGCCCAAGAGUUCAUAUCGACGGCGGUGUUUGGCACCUCGAUGUCGGCUCAUCACAUCCUGGGGCUGAAGUCGGUCCCAAGGGUAUGGCUGUUCGCCAUUUAAAGUGGUACGCGAGCUGGGUUUAGAACGUCGUGAGACAGUUCGGUCCCUAUCUGGUGUGGGCGUUGGAUGAUUGAUGGGAGCUGCUCCUAGUACGAGAGGACCGGAGUGGACGAACCGCUGGUGUUCGGGUUGUUUUGCCAAAGGCAUUGCCCGGUAGCUACGUUCGGAACGGAUAACCGCUGAAAGCAUCUAAGCGGGAAGCCGGCCCAAAGAUGAGUCAUCCCUCGAUGUAAAUCGUGGAAGGGUUGUUUAAGACUAAGACGUUGAUAGGCAGGGUGUGGACGCGUUGUAAGGCGUUAAGCUAACCUGUACUAAUUGCCCGAGAGGCUUAACCAUACAACGCCUAA
rnacentral:rRNA from 1 species